AACGUAGGUGGCAAGCGUUAUCCGGAUUUACUGGGCGUAAAGCGUGUGCAGGCGGACGGCCAAGUGGUGUAUGAAAUCGCCCGGCUUAACCGGGCGGGCGUAGGCCAGACUGGUCGUCUGGAGUGUGAGAGAGGGGCGUGGAAUUCCGGGUGUAGUGGUGAAAUGCGUAGAGAUCCGGAGGAACCCCAGAGGCGAAGGCGGCGCCCUGGCUCACAACUGACGCUCAGACACGACAGCAUGGGGAG
rnacentral:rRNA from 1 species